UGGGGAAUAUUGCACAAUGGGCGCAAGCCUGAUGCAGCCAUGCCGCGUGUAUGAAGAAGGCCUUCGGGUUGUAAACUACUUUCAGCGGGGAGGAAGGCGAUAAGGUUAAUAACCUUGUCGAUUGACGUUACCCGCAGAAGAAGCACCGGCUAACUCCGUGCCAGCAGCCGCGGUAAUACGGAGGGUGCAAGCGUUAAUCGGAAUUACUGGGCGUAAAGCGCACGCAGGCGGUCUGUCAAGUCGGAUGUGAAAUCCCCGGGCUCAACCUGGGAACUGCAUUCGAAACUGGCAGGCUAGAGUCUUGUAGAGGGGGGUAGAAUUCCAGGUGUAGCGGUGAAAUGCGUAGAGAUCUGGAGGAAUACCGGUGGCGAAGGCGGCCCCCUGGACAAAGACUGACGCUCAGGUGCGAAAGCGUGGGGAGCAAACA
rnacentral:rRNA from 1 species